rnacentral:lncRNA from 1 species
GCCUGCCGACCCAGGUCCGGGGGCCCAGCUGGCGCCCGGACCAGCUCUCCGGUCCGCGUCCUGUAGAUGGGUAAACUGAGGCCUGAGAGGGCGCGAGGGCGGGGACGAGGCCGAGGACUCGGGCUCGAAUCCCGAGGACGCCAGUAGCCCGCUCUGAGGCCGCGUGGGGCUGGUGGAGGAGCCACCGGUCGGGCCCCCGAGACCGGCUGACGUGGGCCUCGCCUCGGGCGACUCCCGCCGGGUUAGUGGCUGGCUGUGUGGUGACCUUGGGCGAGUUACUUCGCACAGCCACCCAGGGGCCUCUUCUCCAACACGAUAGCACUGCACCCAGAGGGCCUUCAGACGUGAGCUGAAAUCUACACCAUCAGCUCUCUGACUGUCAGGCUUUGGACUAUACUUUGGGCUUUCCUGGGUCUCUUACCUGGCAGACAGCAGAUUUUGGAACUUUUCAGCCUCCAUAAUCAUUUCCCAGAAGAACCACAAAGCAUAAAUUUCCCCAAAAGGGGAAUUUUGUUGAUGGCUUUAGUCUAUUCCCUCCUAAAAGACCAGCUAUAACCAAAUGAAGUAAACAUAACCUCAAGGUUGUAUUGUCUUCAUAAUAAAAGAUGAAGCUUAGAACUGGA